rnacentral:lncRNA from 1 species
UGUAACAAUUACAAUUUAACAGCAUCAGUCGAGAGGGAAAAACUUCCUCUCUAACAAGGAAGAAACCAGCAGAACCAGGCUGAAUGUGGGCGGCCAUCUGCCUCAAUCGGUUGGGGUGAGGGGAGAGUGAGAGAGAAAAGCACAGCAACAACAACAAGCAACAACAGAGCACAGGCAGGAUGGCUGUUUUUAUUAUUAACUUACUGUUACUUUGUUCUGUAGGAGGAACCAUUUUGAGUGGGUGGCGGCUGUAGAGAACAUGCAGAGAGGCGCGUAAGACUGCGACUCUGCGUCCUGGGCUCCACUCUGAGUUGUCACAGUGUAGGGAGAGUAAGCAACAUGGCCAUGUUACUAGAGAGUAGAGAGGCUCUGUCCAACGUGGGGUGUCUCUUCAGCCCAGGUUUUCCCCAAAAAGUGCCCCAAUUAGCCACAAAGCCCACAUCGUUUGCAGGACACCACCUAGACAGCCAGCGGUGGAGCGAUGACAGCCGGAGAAAACUACAGUACUGGUACUAGUACUAGUAACACUAGAUUUAAGAGGCAGGGAAUGUGUGCAGCCAGUGGCUGGGCCUUGAGGAAGAGGUUCCACCUAUUUUAUUAAACUAUCAUAUUUAAAAGCACUCCUGAAUUUGGAUUAAACUAUACUCUACUCUUUUCAUCAAGCUCAAAGUUCUAUCACAUCUUAACACAAUUAAAAUGUAAUGAUUAUUCUGACAUUUAAAUCAAUAUGAGAUGGUGUGAGUUUGAAAAUGCAUCUGAGAGUGCAUGGGUUCACGUAUGAUUGACUAGUUCUUUGUGACAGAGUUUGUGGUAGUGUGUGUUGAUGUAUGUGUGGGUGUGGGUGUGCGUCUGUGUCUGUGUGAGUACGUAUGCAUGUGGUGCGGUCUGCCUGGGUGGUCUCUUUUCUACCGGCCCCCACCAAUUGCCCCCCAAUUUGUGUUCCGGGGGGAGUGUUUGCCCCUGGUUCUCAUCCCUGGCUGCUGCAGCUCUGCCUGGGGGGGUUCUGUGUGUGGGCGGUUCCACCACCUGUUUCUUAUAAUCAGCCUGUGUAUAUAGUCACCAGUACUCACCUUAGUCCCCAGAUUGUUUGCUCAUACCGUGACAACUCUCCAGCGCUUACCAGUAAGUCUUGCGGUCUACCAGUUUUCUACCUGUUGUUUUGA